rnacentral:lncRNA from 1 species
UAAUUAUAAUGAUAGAGUAAUUUAUAUUCCUCUCUUGAUUGCCUCUUAUCCUUCUCUCAACAGCCUUUCCAUCCAUUUCUUUUCUCACGAAGCUUCUUCUGGUUGGAAACUUAUCAAAUUUCAUCAGCCACUCCAGUGAUUUCCAGCAAAUGAAGAGCCUGAAACAUUCUGGCUGUCUGGAGAACCUAUAACUGAAAGUCAGGUGAGUACCCUCUAAAAGAAGAGAGUCCUGUUCAAGAGAGUCUUAUAACCUCAUGAACAAUUUAUAAAACACUGAAGAGGAGGCCCACAAGCCUCAAAGACAGAAAUCUAUGAAGAACUGACUUGAUG